UGAAGGUUUGCACAAGUGACAAGUCCUCUUCAGGAUCUUAGACCAAGCCAACUACUCUGGGAUCCUAGUAACCGGUGAUGUAAAGAGUGUCUCACUUGAGUAACUGCCAAGGAGGUGGGGGCUGAGAACGUCUUCAAGGUUGCUGUCAUUUGGAAUUUUAUGUCCUUCAUUUUCUUUCACUCUGUAUGCCUGUCACAUCGGCUUAACUGAUCAAUUGAAUUGUGAAUUGUGAAGAAAUGACAAAACAACACUGGGCCACAUUAUCACGA